rnacentral:tRNA from 1 species
GCCGCCGUAGCUCAGCGGGAGAGCGCCCGGCUGAUCCGACCGGGAGGUCCGGGGUUCGAAUCCCCGCGGCGGCACCA